AAGCAGUGAACUUAAGCCCCAGUAAACGGCGGCCGUAACUAUAACGGUCCUAAGGUAGCGAAAUUCCUUGUCGGGUAAGUUCCGACCCGCACGAAAGGCGUAACGAUUUGGGCACUGUCUCAACAACAGACGCGGUGAAAUUGUAAUUCCGGUGAAGAUGCCGGAUACCUGCGACAGGACGGAAAGACCCCAUGGAGCUUUACUGUAGCUUGACAUUGGGUCUUGGUACUACAUGUACAGGAUAGGUGGGAGGCUUUGA
rnacentral:rRNA from 1 species